rnacentral:rRNA from 1 species
AUGAACGCUGGCGGCGUGCCUAAUACAUGCAAGUCGAGCGAACAGACGAGGAGCUUGCUCCUCUGACGUUAGCGGCGGACGGGUGAGUAACACGUGGAUAACCUACCUAUAAGACUGGGAUAACUUCGGGAAACCGGAGCUAAUACCGGAUAAUAUAUUGAACCGCAUGGUUCAAUAGUGAAAGACGGUUUUGCUGUCACUUAUAGAUGGAUCCGCGCCGCAUUAGCUAGUUGGUAAGGUAACGGCUUAACAAGGCGACGAUGCGUAGCCGACCUGAGAGGGUGAUCGGCCACACUGGAACUGAGACACGGUCCAGACUCCUACGGGAGGCAGCAGUAGGGAAUCUUCCGCAAUGGGCGAAAGCCUGACGGAGCAACGCCGCGUGAGUGAUGAAGGUCUUCGGAUCGUAAAACUCUGUUAUUAGGGAAGAACAAAUGUGUAAGUAACUAUGCACGUCUUGACGGUACCUAAUCAGAAAGCCACGGCUAACUACGAG